UGACGGGUUUCUGUGAUUUGUCGAAAAUCUUUUUCCACACAGGUCAUUACCACCAAAUGAAAUUUGCUAUGUCUACUUGAUCGAAAUAAAUCAAGCAAACCGACUCUAUAUGGAGUAAUAAUAAGACAUAGAGUUAUCAUGCCUAUACGGUGCCUAUACCAAUACAAUACAUGUGUUUUGAAACGAGUAUCGUACUAUCCUUUUCUGUACAACUUACAGCGCGGAGGGUGGCGGGUAAUGAGAAGUUAUGGAGAGUUUAGAGUUUAUUUACAUUUGAAAGCAGGGGGGAAAUAUGAGAAUUGAGAACCGUACAACCUUAGAGCAGAGAUAGUGAAGUUCGUCACCUCACAUUUCGAAUAACAGCAAACCUCCAAACAAUAAACAUAAUUAUAUGUUCAUCUGAUUAGAAAAUGCAAACUUUUCAACAAUAUACGAUAUUCUAUGUG